rnacentral:rRNA from 1 species
GUGCCAGCAGCCGCGGUAAUACGGAGGGUGCAAGCGUUGCUCGGAAUCACUGGGCGUAAAGCGACCGCAGGCGGCUUGACAAGUCGGAUGUGAAAGCCCUGGGCUCAACCCAGGAACUGCAUUCGAAACUGGCAAGCUCGAGUACGGGAGAGGGGGGUGGAACUCUUGGUGUAGGGGUGAAAUUCGUUGAUAUCAGGAGGAACACCGGCGGCGAAGGCGGCCCCCUGGCCCGCAACUGACGCUCAUGGUUGAAAGCGUGGGGAGCAAACAGGAUUAGAUACCCUUGUAGUCC